rnacentral:rRNA from 1 species
AACGAACGCUGGCGGCAUGCCUAACACAUGCAAGUCGAACGGGACCUUCGGGCUUAGUGGCGCAUGGGGGGGUGACGCGGGGGGACCUGCCCUUAAGUUUGCAAUAACUCGCCGAAAGACGUCCUAAUACCGGAGAAUGUCUUCCGACCAAAGAGUUAGUGCCUUUGGGUGGGCCUUGGAUGGAUUGGCUUGUUGGGAGGGUAGAAGCCUAUCAAGGGGUGGUUGGAUAGCUGGUCUGAGAGGAUGAUCUGCCACACUGGGCCUGGGACACGGCCCGGACUCCUACGCAAGGGAGGAGUGCGGAAUACUGGACGGUGGGCGGUGGCCUGAUCCAGCACUGCCGCGUAAGUGCUGAAGGCCUUAGGGUUGUAAAGUUCUUUUACCCGUGGUGAUAAUGACGGUACCGGGAGAAUAAGCACCGGCUAACUCCGUG